AUUGAACGCUGGCGGCAGGCCUAACACAUGCAAGUCGAGCGGAUGAAGGGAGCUUGCUCCUGGAUUCAGCGGCGGACGGGUGAGUAAUACCUAGGAAUCUGCCUGGUAGUGGGGGAUAACGUCCGGAAACGGGCGCUAAUACCGCAUACGUCCUGAGGGAGAAAGUGGGGGAUCUUCGGACCUCACGCUAUCAGAUGAGCCUAGGUCGGAUUAGCUAGUUGGUGGGGUAAAGGCCUACCAAGGCGACGAUCCGUAACUGGUCUGAGAGGAUGAUCAGUCACACUGGAACUGAGACACGGUCCAGACUCCUACGGGGGCAGCAGUGGGGAAUAUUGGACAAUGGGCGAAAGCCUGAUCCAGCCAUGCCGCGUGUGUGAAGAAGGUCUUCGGAUUGUAAAGCACUUUAAGUUGGGAGGAAGGGCAGUAAGUUAAUACCUUGCUGUUUUGACGUUACCAACAGAAUAAGCACCGGCUAACUUCGUG
rnacentral:rRNA from 1 species